UACGUAGGGGGCAAGCGUUGUCCGGAAUCAUUGGGCGUAAAGAGCGUGUAGGCGGCCCGAUAAGUCCGCUGUGAAAGUCCAGGGCUCAACCCUGGGAUGCCGGUGGAUACUGUCGGGCUCGAGUACGGAAGAGGCGAGUGGAAUUCCCGGUGUAGCGGUGAAAUGCGCAGAUAUCGGGAGGAACACCAAUUGCAAAGGCAGCUCGCUGGGACGUUACUGACGCUGAGACGCGAAAGCGUGGGGAGCAAACAGG
rnacentral:rRNA from 1 species